UAUUCUAUAUUCUAGCCAGGCUGCGUUGAUGGAACACCCCCAUGUUACGCCUAAAUCCCACCGCCUGUCAGACGCGACUCUCCGCUCCGCUGUGCUGAAGAAAGGUGCCUCGUCUAUUUUUGACGGAGAUCGCGUCAAGCAACACAGAGCAGAUCAAGCUGGACAGGAAGUCAGACACAGAAACAGCAUUGAGCAUCAACGGUGAUGUUUGAACGCUUCUCUGUCAGAGAGACUUCCAACACGGCUCAGUGUGUUUCUCUCACCCCUCCAUCAGUCCUUCCUUUUACUGCCAGCAGGUCGAUGCUACGUCACUAAGUGAAGGAAUCAGAAGUGAGGAAGAAUCACAUGAUGUAACUUAAUGGUGUU